UGUGAGAAUUCUGUUCUUUUCCAACGUGGACACAAUGGCUGUUAUAAUAAUAAAAUCCGUAACCUUAUCGUGGCCCCUGUGCUUUGCAUAGUCUGUUAUGGCCUUAUAAUACCCAAAUAUCCAUCAAAGUAGGAGAAGGAGUUUUACAUAAUAAAUGUAGAGAGAAUGUAAAAUUGAAUUUUGGUGGAAAGAGCUUGAUCAAAAGUACAGUAACUAUUAAAAUGCCUGCCCACUUGACAGAUGAGAAAACUGAGGAUCAGAGGAGUUAAGGCAUUUGCCAAAAGCCAUACAGUUUGCUAAUAGCUGAACUGAUCUCUCAAUCCAAGUGUGCCUGGAAAUUCUGUCAUUUCAGUCAUACCUACAU